AAUUUAAUUUUUAAGAAAAUACAUAUUCAAGAAAUAGAUUUAUUGUUCCUCCACCUCUUUCUGUUUUAGGUUUAUGUUGCUGUAUUUCUGAUCUUCAAUGUGUUUGGUUUGAUUAUGUGUUUGGUAAUUUAUUCUGAGGUGUUUAUCUUUAAUUUGCAGCUCAGGUUUCCUCAGUGAAAGUGACAUACAGCUGCUUGCCCACUGGAGUCAUGAAAGUGAACUGUUCUGCUGAUGGUGACAAUCUCCACUUCAGCUGGACUUCUGACUUUAUCGCACUCCCUCAACUGGAGGACGGGACCAGCACUGUCAUACUGGAACAAGACCAUCAAGGAAAUGUUACCUGCCAUGUAGAAAAUAACGUCAGCCGUGACCACAAUACCAAUGUCCUGGUGCACUGUUUCAGGAUCCUGCUGUCUGUAGAUUUAUUCAGAGGAAUCAGUGUUAUGUAGCUGUGGGACAACCUCUGCAGCUACAAAUGCCCUGGGAGGAUGGGUUUGUCCUAAAGCUCAAGAGUUUAAUUUUAAAAUAUAGAAAAACCCAAAGUUCCCCACCAACACCACGUCUCCCAAGAUGGCAGUUUGUUAAUGAUAAUAAAACUAUGAUACUAACCAGUGCAGAGAGGAGCAACUCUGGAACAUACACUUUAAACAUCUAUGAUGUAGAUGGGAGAAGUAAAGGCAGUUAUACUCUCCAGGUGAACACUGAAGGUGUCCUCAGUGAAAGUGUCUUACACCUGCUUGCCCACUGGAGUCGUGAAAUUGAACUGUGGUGCUGAUGGAGACAAACUGCGCUUCAGCUGGUCUUCUGAUUUUAACACACUCCCUCAACUGGAGAAGGGGAGCAGCACUGUCAUACUGGAACAAGACCAUCAAGGAAACAUCACCUGCCAUGUAGAAAAUCAUGUCAGCCGUGACCACAAUACCAUUGAACAAUGUCCCUGUCAGGAACAGCUGGACAGUUCCCUGCCAGGCCCAGAGAGGGCGCUGGCAGGUGAACCUUGGAAGCCUGCUUCUUUGUGUGUCUCUUGUUACGCCCUUCCUAUUAUUCCUAUCCUGAUUGUCACCUGUAUCCCAUUAGCCCUAAUGUCUACCCCUAUAAAUAGGGAUCCUUGUGUUUGUGUCUUUGUCCAUGAUUGUUAUCUGUACCGUGGUUUCUGUUGGGGUUUUGUUUGCUAGGUUCCAUGUCUAGGUUUAGUUUUUUGUUUAGUUAACCACGCCAUGUCUUGUUACGUUUGUUUCCCUAUGUCGCGUCUUAAAUGUAAUAAAAGCAGUUCUUCGCUGAAUCCUGCGCAUGGGUCUCAUUACACCGUGUGCUGGCGUGCGCACACACACCACGGGCGUCUGGGGUCGAGCCCCGCAUAGGGCGGGGGUCCCAGACGUUACAGUCCCGGUUUGGUGUUUCAGGAUCCUAUUGUCUGUAGAUUUACUCGGAGUAAUCAGUGUUAUGUUGCAGUGGGACAACAUCUGCAACUGCAAUGCCCUGGGAAGAUGGGUUUGACCUAAAGACCACUAGUUUCAUUUUAAGAUAUAGAAAAACCCAAAGUUCCCCACCAACACCACAUCUCACAAGAUGGCAGUUUGUUAAUGAUAAUAAAACUAUGAUACUAACCAGUGCAGAGAGGAACGACUCUGGA